AAGGACUGUGCUCCCAAUCCGCUUACGCUCAAGGAAGAACUGGAAGGCCCAGAACCAGCCUGCUGUCAGGAUCAGAACAAAAGAGGAGGACUGCAUAUGUAUGGACCCACUCCAGAUGGCAUGGGGACGGGGGGAGUAGGAAAAGUGGCAUGAGACCAGGCCCACAGAGUAUGGCUGUGCAAGUUGUUCACUCUACAAGGGCACCUGGCCGGGGUCUUACCUUGAAUGGGGGAGAAGAGCUUGAAGAUGAGGGGACAGGCCAAGACAACUACCUGGCCCCGAGGGGUGGCUGGCCAGCAGAUGAGGAAAUGGAGGCACAGACUGAUUAGAAAACCAGCUCAAGGUCAUGUUGCUGCUCUCUCAUUCCUGUUGAGGGCUCUCUGGUGGAGCCUCUGUCUCACAGGUCACCUGCAGGCCAACACUCCCAGAAGCAGCUAGCACCAUGGUUGACCUCGUCCAGGUCCAGGGAAGGCCUCCCUCUCCAGGACUCCUUUAGAUUUCCCCAGCAUCCAGACCUCACCUGCCUAAGUGCUGUUGCCCUGGAAGCCACACAGUGAGCACGAGCUCCAUCUUGCCCCUUUACCAGCCAAUGGGGGUAAAGACAUUAGCUGAAAUGCUUCUAAGGGGCCAGGCGUGGUGACUCACGCUUGUAAUUCCAAGCACUUUGGGAGGCUGAGGCAGGUGGAUCACCUGAAGCCAGGAGUUCAAGAGCAGCCUGGCCAACAUGGCGAAACCCUGUCUCUACUAAAAAUACAAAAUUUA
rnacentral:antisense_RNA from 1 species